AGCUUUGUGCAGUGGUAGCAUUGUAACCAAUUAGGCUUAUCCAAGGCACAAUUAUUGCUAAUUAAAUAUCGUAUUUCUGUUUCCUUAUAUUUAAACAGAGGAAACUGGGCUACAUGAUUUCUUCAUUCCCUCUAAGAA
ensembl:snRNA U4 U4 spliceosomal RNA